rnacentral:rRNA from 1 species
CCUACGGGUGGCAGCAGUGGGGAAUAUUGGGCAAUGGGCGCAAGCCUGACCCAGCAACGCCGCGUGAAGGAAGAAGGCCCUCGGGUUGUAAACUUCUUUUCUCAGGGACGAAGCAAGUGACGGUACCUGAGGAAUGAGCCUCGGCUAACUACGUGCCAGCAGCCGCGGUAAUACGUAGGCGGCAAGCGUUAUCCGGAUUUACUGGGUGUAAAGGGCGUGUAGGCGGGAAAGCAAGUCAGAUGUGAAAACCAUGGGCUCAACCUGUGGCCUGCAUUUGAAACUGUUUUUCUUGAGUACUGGAGAGGCAGACGGAAUUCGUGGUGUAGCGGUGAAAUGCGUAGAUAUCAGGAGGAACGCCGGUGGCGAAGGCAGUCUGCUGGACAGCAACUGACGCUGAGGCGCGAAAGCGUGGGGAGCGAACGGGAUUAGAUACCCCAGUAGUC